UACGGGGGGGGCAAGCGUUGUUCGGAAUUACUGGGCGUAAAGGGCGCGUAGGCGGCUUUUCAAGUCGGGCGUGAAAUCUCCGGGCUUAACUCGGAAAGGUCAACUGAUACUGUGCGACUAGAGUGCAGAAGGGGCAACUGGAAUUCUCGGUGUAGCGGUGAAAUGCGUAGAUAUCGAGAGGAACACCUGCGGCGAAGGCGGGUUGCUGGGCUGACACUGACGCUGAGGCGCGAAAGCCAGGGGAGCGAACGGG
rnacentral:rRNA from 1 species